GACGAACGCUGGCGGCGUGCUUAACACAUGCAAGUCGAACGGAAAGGCCCUGCUUUUGUGGGGUGCUCGAGUGGCGAACGGGUGAGUAACACGUGAGUAACCUGCCCUUGACUUUGGGAUAACUUCAGGAAACUGGGGCUAAUACCGGGUAGGAGCUCCUGCUGCAUGGUGGGGGUUGGAAAGUUUCGGCGGUUGGGGAUGGACUCGCGGCUUAUCAGCUUGUUGGUGGGGUAGUGGCUUACCAAGGCUUUGACGGGUAGCCGGCCUGAGAGGGUGACCGGCGACAUGGGGACUGAGAUACGGACCAGACUCCUACGGGAGGCAGCAGUGGGGAAUAUUGCACAAUGGGCGGAAGUCUGAUGCAGCAACGCCGCGUGCGGGAUGACGGCCUUCGGGGUGUAAACCGCUUUCGCCUGUGACGAAGCGUGAGUGACGGUAAUGGGUAAAGAAGCACCGGCUAACUACGUG
rnacentral:rRNA from 1 species